GCACGACACCGUCACCCUGACGUCAGUCCUGCGUCACGUCCAGAGCCUGGAGCCGGACCCGGGCUCGCCGGGGAGCGCGCGGACAGACCCUCCCCAUGAUGUGGUCUCAGCAGCUCCAGCAGAGGAAGAGUCUGUCUGCAGCGGCCCCAGCAGAAAUCCCAGACUGCAUCUCCUUGGCCUGGCUUGGCCAUCUGUCCAUCCCUAAACAAAGGAAAGUGUUGUACUACACAGAUGACACGGCCAUGGCCAGGGCCCUGGUGCAGUCCCUGCUGGCCAAGGAGGCCUUCGACGAGGUGGACAUGGCUCACAGAUUCGCUCAGGAGUACAAGAAAGAGCCUGACCGGGGUUACGGCGCUGGAGUGAUCACUGUCUUCAAGAAGCUCCUGAGCCCCAAGUGCCGCGAUGUCUUUGAGCCCGCCCGGGCCCAGUUUAACGGGAAAGGCUCCUAUGGCAACGGGGGUGCCAUGCGGGUGGCCGGCAUCUCCCUGGCCUAUAGCGAUGUCCAGGAUGUGCAGAAGUUUGCCCGGCUCUCAGCCCAGCUGACACACGCCUCCUCCCUGGGUUACAACGGCGCCAUCCUGCAGGCCCUGGCCGUGCACCUGGCUUUGCAGGGGGAGUCGUCGAGUGAACAUUUCCUCGAACAACUCCUGGGCCACAUGGAAGAGCUGGAGAGUGACGCCCAGUCCGUCUCAGAUGCCAGGGAGUUGGGCAUGGAGGAGCGUCCCUACUCCAGCCGACUGAAGAAGAUUGGCGUUCUUCUGGAGCAGGACUCGGUGACCAGAGAGGAGGUGGUGUCCGAGCUAGGCAAUGGCAUCGCUGCCUUCGAAUCUGUGCCCACCGCCAUCUACUGCUUCCUGCGCUGCAUGGAGCCGGACCCCGAGAUCCCCUCUGCCUUCAACAGCCUCCAGAGGACUCUUAUCUAUUCCAUCUCGCUCGGGGGGGACACAGACACCAUUGCCACCAUGGCUGGGGCCAUUGCCGGGGCCUACUAUGGGAUGGGACAGGUGCCAGGGAGCUGGCAGCAGAGCUGCGAGGGCUAUGAGGAGACGGACGUCCUGGCCCACAGCCUGCACCGUCUCUUCCAGAAGAGUCUGUGAGGGCCUCAGCAGCUGGGACGCCGCCAUGUCCAGCCGGCCCCACUACAGCUUGGAUCGGAGACGCUGUGGUUCCUCGGGUACUGGUCCCCGCCUCCGUCAGCCUGCGGUGUGGGCAGAGCACACAGCUGGGCUGGGGUCCCGGGGGAGGUGACUGGACAGCGAGGGGACGACUGGUGCCGGGUUUCCGGCUCACUGCAGAGCCUGGGGCCCCUCGGCUCCUUGGGCGGACGGGAGGGAUCAGGACAGGUUUUACUUUGGAAGGGUAUCCGUGGCAUUUUCCUGUCUUAUUCAAGACAUGGGAUGGGGGUGGGGGGUGUGGGCAGAAAUGAUCGGCAGUGGCACCAUUUCUUCUCGUUGAGAUGUAGCCAAUUUGCCAGAAAGCAUGUCUUUGACUGGGCAGAGCCCCUGGGUCGAGGAAACCAGCACUUGCAUCUAGCUGAUCUGGAUGUACACCUGGCCCUUGGCCGUCAUGGGGCUUGUUAACAGCUUCCAGCGGAAGUCACAGCAAUAAACAGCUUUUGCCUCGGUGGAGAGAGAAGCAUACCCAGUUCUGCAGCCAGCCUCAGGUCUGAGGACUGACGGGCAGGCCUGCUUUCAGCUGAGACGGUGUCCUGCCGGGCCGGGGCAAACCACAGGACUUUCCAGGGCUUGGAUUGUUUCAGGUUUGCUGCCCCCAUCCCUAGAGCCCCAGACAGAUUCUUAGCGCUGAGCACAGCAGCUGUGGGCAGGUGCUUUCCACCCAGGACAGCCCCCCGAGUCCUGCCUUCAGCAGUGGGCCUGGCACUGGCCCCCACCCUCAGGAUCAAAGGGUCAUGAUUUCAUUCAUAAUUUGUAUCAAAUGUUGAAACUUGGUCCCUGGGAUCCGGAGCCAGCUGUCAUGCCCCAGUACCCCUGAGAGCUUGCGGGAAUGUUCCAGGGAAGCUCAAACCAUCUCCCCUCGCUGCAAUCACUGCCUUGCUUUGGUUGCUUAAAAUGCCUCUUGGUGCAGAGCCUUGGCAGCCUAGGAGCAUGGAGCAUUUCUGAUGUGGUGGUGACAGAAACACGGCUGGGGGCCUGGGGAGGAACGCAUGCUCCUUG